CCUACGGGGGGCUGCAGUGGGGAAUAUUGGACAAUGGGGGCAACCCUGAUCCAGCCAUGCCGCGUGUGUGAAGAAGGCCCUCGGGUUGUAAAGCACUUUCAGUGAGGAAGAACGCCUUGUGGUUAAUACCCAUCAGGAAAGACAUCACUCACAGAAGAAGCACCGGCUAACUCCGUGCCAGCAGCCGCGGUAAUACGGAGGGUGCGAGCGUUAAUCGGAAUUACUGGGCGUAAAGCGCGCGUAGGUGGCUUGAUAAGCCGGUUGUGAAAGCCCCGGGCUCAACCUGGGAACGGCAUCCGGAACUGUCAAGCUAGAGUGCAGGAGAGGAAGGUAGAAUUCCCGGUGUAGCGGUGAAAUGCGUAGAGAUCGGGAGGAAUACCAGUGGCGAAGGCGGCCUUCUGGACUGACACUGACACUGAGGUGCGAAAGCGUGGGUAGAAAACAGGAUUAGAUACACUAGUAGUA
rnacentral:rRNA from 1 species